UACGUAGGGUGCAAACGUUGUUCGGAAUCACUGGGCUUAAAGGGCGCGUAGGCGGGCAGGCAAGUCGAAGGUGAAAUCCCACGGCUCAACCGUGGAAGUGCCCCCGAUACUGCCUGUCUCGAGGGAGAUAGGGGCGUGCGGAACUUCCGGUGGAGCGGUGAAAUGCGUAGAUAUCUGAAGGAACACCGGUGGCGAAAGCGGCGCGCUGGAUCUCUUCUGACGCUGAUGCGCGAAAGCCAGGGGAGCAAACGGG
rnacentral:rRNA from 1 species